UACGUAGGUGGCAAGCGUUGUCCGGAUUUACUGGGCGUAAAGAGCGCGCGGGCGGUCGUUCAAGUCGCGUGUGAAAGCCCCCGGCUCAACUGGGGAGGGUCACGCGAUACUGUUCGACUCGAAGGCAGGAGAGGGUAGUGGAAUUCCCGGUGUAGUGGUGAAAUGCGUAGAUAUCGGGAGGAACACCAGUGGCGAAGGCGACUGCCUGGCCUGUUCUUGACGCUGAGGCGCGAAAGCUAGGGGAGCAAACGGG
rnacentral:rRNA from 1 species